GACGAACGCUGGCGGCGUGCUUAACACAUGCAAGUCGAACGGAAAGGCCCUGCUUUUGUGGGGUGCUCGAGUGGCGAACGGGUGAGUAACACGUGAGUAACCUGCCCCUGACUUUGGGAUAACUUCAGGAAACUGGGGCUAAUACCGGAUAGGAUCUCCUGCUGCACGGUGGGGGUUGGAAAGUUUCGGCGGUUGGGGCUGGACUGGCGGCUUAUCAGCUUGUUGGUGAGGUAGUGGCUUACCAAGGCUUUGACGGGUAGCCGGCCUGAGAGGGGGAACGGGGUCCAUGCGCCUAAGGGAGGCCGCAGAAGGCAAUCUGAGGCAACGGGGGGAAGUAUGACGGAGCGAGGCGGAGCGUGAUACGAAGAUGUCGGGUGCGUGAUGCCGGGCUUCGGGUUAUGAACCGAUGUGGCAGGUGACGUGGAGUUAGUGACGGUAAUGGGUAAGGAAGCACCGGCUAACUACGUG
rnacentral:rRNA from 1 species